CCACCCACAGCUGCAUGUGGGCGGGAGGCAGGGCAGGGGGCAGGGUCCCCCCCUCCUCACCUCCCAUGCCAUUCUAUAUAGACCCCGUGGCCACACAUAGCCUCGUGGGUCACUGCUCUGCUUGUAUACGUACUUGAUUCUUCCAGCAACCCCACGAGGACAGCGGUUUACUGUGGCUCUUUAGUGCCCAGGAAGAGCCCUGCAUCGGGAGGAAGAUAGUGGAGGUACUGACUGUGGCUCCACCUCUUGCUUCCAAGAGAACUUGGACAAGUCAUGUAUCUUGUCUGAUCUUCAGCGUUACCAUGUAGCAUCGGACAAGAUCUAGGGUUCCGCUUUCCCUGUCCGUCACCGGUGGGCAGCCACCUCCCGGAAGCGGAUGAGCCUCCCUCCCACCAAUCACUGGAAGAUCAGUGGUAGCCCCACCCCCCGACACAGCCGGAGUCACCCCCCUCGCUUCCUCUCACCACACAGUCAUUUUAUCAUCUCAAAUCGGCCCGAUGAGGGUAAAGCAGCUGAGCUCAAGAGAGGUUUGAAUAACUUGUUCUAGAUCACACCGCUACUAAGAAGAACCAGGAUCCACACAUUUGUGUAUAAAGUCUCAUAGUGUUUGUUUGUGCCCUGACAGCACGAUGCUCCUCCCCUAAGAGUGGUGGCCGUGUGGGAAAGGCACUGGCCUGGGAGUCAGGAAGCCUCUGGUCCUGCCCGCGUCUGCCCGUAACCUAUGAGUCAU